GGGCGCUUAGCUCAGUUGGUAGAGCGUCUGCCUUACAAGCAGAAUGUCGGCGGUUCGAUCCCGUCAGCGACCA
rnacentral:tRNA from 1 species